GGGGACAGCUCAGUGGUAGAGUGCAUGCUUAGCAUGCAUGAGGUCCUGGGUUCAAUCCCCAGUAUCUCCA
rnacentral:tRNA from 1 species